CAUGGCAUAGCUUACCAAAGCAUCCCGCUUACACCGAGAAGACCUCUGCUUACCAGAUUACCAUGA
rnacentral:tRNA from 1 species